UACGUAGGGUGCAAGCGUUAAUCGGAAUUACUGGGCGUAAAGCGUGCGCAGGCGGUUUUGUAAGUCCGACGUGAAAUCCCCGGGCUCAACCUGGGAAUUGCGUUGGAGACUGCAAGGCUGGAGUCUGGCAGAGGGGGGUAGAAUUCCACGUGUAGCAGUGAAAUGCGUAGAGAUCCGGAGGAACACCAGCGGCGAAGGCGGCAUCCUGGACUGGUCCUGACACUCAGGAGCGAAAGCGUGGGGAGCGAUCCGG
rnacentral:rRNA from 1 species